CCUUAAAGCAGCUAAUUACUUCGCUCCCACCAAUUUUGAUGGGAGUUAAAAGCCUGCAUCUCCAUGAGAACUAGAGAUUAACCACCCAAGAUUUGUUUCAAUCAAACCUCUGUCAGAUAACAUCACUGGAUGCAUUCAUUUUGUCUGUGGGCGUUUCGUGCCUCACUGUCAACUCCUCCUGCAAAGGAAUCAGGAACACUGCUUUAAGGAGGAAAUGGAGAUGUACAGUCAGUGUGCACAGAAGACAUGGCAAGUAGGCUCCAAAGACAGAGUAGACUUAAAAGUGAGAGCUGUGAUUUUGAAAUUCAUGAACAUUUGGAAAGCUGAGAACAAAAGAACAAAGUAACAAUUAAUAAGCUUGCUGAUUUCCAAA
rnacentral:lncRNA from 1 species